rnacentral:rRNA from 1 species
CCUACGGGUGGCAGCAGUGGGGAAUAUUGCGCAAUGGGCGAAAGCCUGACGCAGCGACGCCGCGUGAGGGAUGAAGGUCUUCGGAUCGUAAACCUCUGUCAGCAGGGAAGAACGGUCACUGUGCUAAUCAUCAGUGAAUUGACGGUACCUGCAAAGGAAGCACCGGCUCACUCCGUGCCAGCAGCCGCGGUAAUACGGAGGGUGCGAGCGUUAAUCGGAAUUACUGGGCGUAAAGCGCUCGUAGGCGGUAUGUCAAGUCAAGGGUGAAAUCCCCGCGCUCAACGUGGGAACUGCCUUUGAAACUGGCAGACUGGAGUGUGUGAGAGGAUAGUGGAAUUCCAGGUGUAGGAGUGAAAUCCGUAGAUAUCGGGAGGAACAUCAGUGGCGAAGGCGACUAUCUGGCGCAUAACUGACGCUGAGGAGCGAAAGCGUGGGUAGCAAACAGGAUUAGAUACCCUUGUAGUC